rnacentral:misc_RNA from 1 species
GAUGAAGAACGCAGCGAAAUGCGAUACGUAAUGUGAAUUGCAGAAUUCAGUGAAUCAUCGAGUCUUUGAACGCACAUUGCGCCCCCUGGUAUUCCGGGGGGCAUGCCUGUCCGAGCGUCAUUGCUGCCCUUAAGCACGGCUUGUGUGUUGGGCCUCCGUCCUCCUCCCGGGGGACGGGCCCGAAAGGCAGCGGCGGCACCGCGUCCGGUCCUCGAGCGUAUGGGGCUUCGUCACCCGCUCUUGUAGGCCCGGCCGGCGCUUGCCGACACAUCAAUCUUUUUUCCAUGUUGACCUCGGAUCAGGUAGGGAUACCCGCUGAACUUAAGCAUAUCAAUAAGCGGAGGA